rnacentral:rRNA from 1 species
AGUGAACGCUGGCGGUGGGCCUAACACAUGCAAGUCGAACGGCAGCACAGUAAGAGCUUGCUCUUACGGGUGGCGAGUGGCGGACGGGUGAGGAAUACAUCGGAAUCUACUUUUUCGUGGGGGAUAACGUAGGGAAACUUACGCUAAUACCGCAUACGACCUACGGGUGAAAGCAGGGGAUCUUCGGACCUUGCGCGAUUGAAUGAGCCGAUGUCGGAUUAGCUAGUUGGCGGGGUAAAGGCCCACCAAGGCGACGAUCCGUAGCUGGUCUGAGAGGAUGAUCAGCCAAACUGGAACUGAGACACGGUCCAGACUCCUACGGGAGGCAGCAGUGGGGAAUAUUGGACAAUGGGCGCAAGCCUGAUCCAGCCAUACCGCGUGGGUGAAGAAGGCCUUCGGGUUGUAAAGCCCUUUUGUUGGGAAAGAAAAGCAGCAGGUUAAUACCCCGCUGUUCUGACGGUACCCAAAGAAUAAGCACCGGCUAACUUCGU